CCCCCCACCGCCUUAGUUCCUUCUUACCGCCGGUGACGGCUAGCUGGAACUUCUCUUGCUCUUUAGCAAUCGUGGCAGUGUUCUAUAGUUCUUGUACAUAGUUUAUUAGUUAGUAGUUAGUGUUACUGUUAGAUAGUUACGUGUCAGUUGGGGGGGGGUUCCCCAACUUUUCGUCUCCCCGCUGGGGCAUGCCCGGGUCCCCAGGGUUUAAACUCUGUCGGGACUGCGAGAAGUUUAUGCCAAAAAGUGAUCCGCACGCUUCCUGCUUGCGGUGCCUCGGGGAGACCCAUCAAAGGGACAGGUGUCCUAUUUGCAGGGCUUUUCGCCCCAGGACUCUCAAGGAUAGAGAGCAGAGACUUAAAGUCCUCCUAAUGGAGGCGGCACAGCGGCCACAAUCGGAUCCCGGACCUUCAGAGCCGGCACCCAGCACUUCAUCCUCGGUGCGCAGUGCCCCGGCACUGGAGAUAGGUCGUGAGGCCAAGGCCCCAAGACCCCGGCACCGCAGAGAUUCAGCGCAUAAGAAAUCGUCUCCGACAAGACGCUGCUCUCCUUCGCCGGUGCCGGCUAAAAAGAACAGGCCACGGACUGAACAAUGUCCCCACGGGGACUCUAAAGGUCAGGCGCAGUCCACGAUUGUUUCGGGGCAACCCGCGCCACAGACCCAUCCGGCCAUCCCGUUGACUCCCGCCCCGGAGAGGGCAAGGUCGAGUCCGGAACACCAUAGAUCCCCGGACAUUAUGGAGGAGGUCCGCCUCCCAUCGACACCUGAGGGGUUCGAGGCCGCCUCAGACCUCUUGAACCUUCCGGUGCCGGCGUCGCCGCACCGGUGCAGACAACCUCCGGCUGCCGCCGGGCCCCAGUAUCACUCUAAGGGUAAACCGGCGAUGCGCUCUCCUGUAAUUGAUAUCCUGGCCCCGUCGGGCCCAUCUAGGGUGGCCCUGCCCCUCAUAAAAACCAUUGCGGACACAACCCGUAUGUUGUGGCAAACUCCAGCCUCAUUGGCCCCUACAGCCAAAAAGACUGAGAGGCGGUAUUUUGUCCCAACCAAGGGCUAUGAACAUCUUUACAUGCACCCCCCGCUGGACUCCCUGGUGGUGGAUGCGGCCAACCAGAGGGAGCGACAAGGUUUUCAGGGAUCCACUCCUUAAAAAUAGAGAGGCUAAAAAGUUGGACCUCUUCGGACGUAAGGUCUAUUCAACGGGGGGCCUACAGUUGCGUAUUGCCAAUCAGCAGGCCAUAGUGAGCCGGUAUGGACACAACACGUGCUCGGCUUUGUCUAGGUUUACGGACCUCCUCCCGCAGGAUUCACGAACCGAGUUCUCGGCCCUUGUUGAGGAGAUUAAUUACUCGAGCUUCCCUUCAGGCAGCCUUGGACGCAGCCGAUUUGGCCUCGCGCACGUUGGCUACUGGUCUCGUCAUGAGGCGCGGAGCCUG
rnacentral:lncRNA from 1 species